rnacentral:rRNA from 1 species
CCUACGGGUGGCAGCAGUGAGGAAUAUUGGUCAAUGGGCGCGAGCCUGAACCAGCCAAGUCGCGUGAGGGAAGACGGUCCUAUGGAUUGUAAACCUCUUUUGUCGGGGACGAAGCAAGUGACGGUACCUGAGGAAUAAGCCACGGCUAACUACGUGCCAGCAGCCGCGGUAAUACGUAGGUGGCAAGCGUUAUCCGGAUUUACUGGGUGUAAAGGGCGUGUAGGCGGGACGGCAAGUCAGAUGUGAAAACCAUGGGCUCAACCUGUGGCGUGCAUUUGAAACUGUAGUUCUUGAGUACUGGAGAGGCAGACGGAAUUCCUAGUGGAGCGGUGAAAUGCGUAGAUAUUAGGAGGAACACCAGUGGCGAAGGCGGUCUGCUGGACAGCAACUGACGCUGAGGCGCGAAAGCGUGGGGAGCAAACAGGAUUAGAUACCCCUGUAGUC